GGUCUUGCCAGAGCAACCCCAACUCUGGUCUAGACUUCUUUUACAGGUUCCGACGGCGACCGCGACUCCCUCGACUCCAGCUUCUCCGACGCAGGUGGAUUUUUGCACCAACAUGAUUGGCACUAGAGGAAGGGCCUAAACCUUCGCAGUACCCUUGUUCUUAAAGCAGCGCUCAACGGGACCGCCUCCGGUCAUCUUUUCCGACGUCUACUCCUCCUUCCCCCAUUAGGUUUUCGCCCGAUGCCUCCCCGCAAGGCAUCCACGUGGCGAUCCACGACCUCUGCGGCCA
rnacentral:lncRNA from 1 species